rnacentral:rRNA from 1 species
CGAAAGUAGUAUGCAGAGACGACCGCCGUGGAGUAUGAAGGUUUUCGGAGGUAAACUCCUGUCAAGAGGGGGGAAACUUAUUUUUACUAAUACUGGCAGUAAGAUGCGGUACCUCUAGAGGAAACCCCGGCUAAUUCAGUGCCCGCCAGCGCGGUAAACAUGAAGGGGCCAGCGUUAAUUGGAAUCUAUGGGGGUAAAGCGGUGGUUGGGGGGUUUUUCAGUUAGAAGUGAAAGCCCCUGGCUCUACCGGGGGAAUCCAUUUGGAAAUGCAUAGGCAGGAGUUUGGAGGGGGACAUGGAAAUUCCAGGGGUAGAGGGAAAUUCGGUAAAAUUAGAGAGAAACCCCGGGGGGAAAGGGAAUUCUCUGGUCAUAUACUGCAGUUAGGACGGAAAGGUUGGGGGACCAACCAGGUUUAGAUACCCUGGUAGUCC